rnacentral:rRNA from 1 species
CCUACGGGAGGCAGCAGUGAGGAAUAUUGGUCAAUGGACGAGAGUCUGAACCAGCCAAGUAGCGUGAAGGAUGACUGCCCUAUGGGUUGUAAACUUCUUUUAUAUGGGAAUAAAAUGUUCCACGUGUGCCUUUUUGUAUGUACCUUAUGAAUAAGGAUCGGCUAACUCCGUGCCAGCAGCCGCGGUAAUACGGAGGAUCCGAGCGUUAUCCGGAUUUAUUGGGUUUAAAGGGAGCGUAGAUGGAUUGUUAAGUCAGUUGUGAAAGUUUGCGGCUCAACCGUAAAAUUGCAGUUGAAACUGGCAGUCUUGAGUACAGUAGAGGUGGGCGGAAUUCGUGGUGUAGCGGUGAAAUGCUUAGAUAUCACGAAGAACUCCGAUUGCGAAGGCAGCUUACUAGACUGCAACUGACACUGAGGCUCGAAAGUGUGGGUAUCAAACAGGAUUAGAUACCCUUGUAGUC